rnacentral:rRNA from 1 species
AUUGAACGCUGGCGGCAUGCCUAACACAUGCAAGUCGAACGGCAGCACAGUAUGUAGCAAUACAUAUGGGUGGCGAGUGGCGGACGGGUGCGUAAUAUGUAGGGAUCUGCCCUGAAGCGGGGGACAACCCGGGGAAACCCGGGCUAAUACCGCAUAAUACUCUACGGAGGAAAUCUGGCACGCAAGUGCUGGGGCUUUAGGAUGAACCUACAUCCGAUUAGCUAGUUGGUGAGGUAAUAGCUCACCAAGGCAAUGAUCGGUAGCUGGUCUGAGAGGAUGACCAGCCACACUGGGACUGAGACACGGCCCAGACUCCUACGGGAGGCAGCAGUGGGGAAUAUUGGACAAUGGGGGAAACCCUGAUCCAGCAAUGCCGCGUGGGUGAAGAAGGCCUUCGGGUUGUAAAGCCCUUUAGGCGGGGAAGAAGGUUAUAGGGUGAUAAGCCUUAUAGCUUGACGGUACCCGCAGAAUAAGCACCGGCUAACUCUGUGCCAGCCGCCGCAGUAA